GGUUUUGGUUCACCUAACCCUUUCUGACGUGGUCUGCCUGAAAACGUCACAGCACUUUACCCACUAAUGGUACAUAAAUCGUGUGAAAUACUGUUCACAGAGAUCUAUCCACUAAGCUCUAUGACUUGUUUAUGUUGAUUUUAUAAUUACACUAAAUAUCCAUCACAUACACAUAUGUAUAAUUAGACAGACAAAAAAAACAUAUGCAAAUAUAUCAUGUGCAGCCUUGCAACUGCUAA